rnacentral:rRNA from 1 species
UGGAUGAUGUGGAUUAAUUCGAAGCAACGCGCAGAACCUUACCUGGGUUUGACAUGCUUGGAUGCUUGCCUGGAAACAGGUUAGGUUGCCCUUCGGGUGAAACUUGCACAGGUGCUGCAUGGCUGUCGUCAGCUCGUGUCGUGAGAUGUCGGGUUAAGUCCUCUAACGAGCGAAACCCUUGCCGUUAGUUACCAACGGGUCAUGCCGGGAACUCUAACGGGACUGCCGGUGUUAAACCGGAGGAAGGUGGGGAUGACGUCAAGUCAUCAUGGCCUUUAUGCCCAGGGCAUCACACGUGCUACAAUGGCCGGUACAAAGCGACGCAAGACCGCGAGGUGGAGCCAAUCGCAAAAACCGGCCCCAGUUCGGAUUGCAGGCUGGCAACUCGCCUGCAUGAAGUUGGAAUCGCUAGUAAUCGUGAAUCAGCUAUGUCACGGUGAAUGUGUUCCUGAGCCUU